CUGCUUUCAUCACUACACCUCCCACCGCUCUCCAUCACCUGCUCUGCUCUUAUAAGGAUCCAGAGAAAUGGAAUAAUCUUAUUGCUGAUCUAUGUAAACAAGUUGAAGAAUUGUCUGAAAGAAAAUACAGUGUGUCUAAACUGGAAAAGUCCUGUAAUAGUUUGUUCAUGAGCAUUUACACAGUGGAGUUACUGUUCAUCAUGGGGGUACUGUGGACAAGCCCAGGGCUGCUGUAGAGACAAGAGUUUUUCCAUGUAGGCCCGGCUGGCCUCGAACUCCUGACCUCAAGUGAUCCACCUGCCUCCCAAAGUGGGAUUACAGA
rnacentral:lncRNA from 1 species